UACGGAGGGUGCUAGCGUUGUUCGGAAUUACUGGGCGUAAAGCGCGCGUAGGCGGCUUUGUAAGUUAGAGGUGAAAGCCCGGAGCUCAACUCCGGAAUUGCCUUUAAGACUGCAUCGCUAGAAUCAUGGAGAGGUGAGUGGAAUUCCGAGUGUAGAGGUGAAAUUCGUAGAUGUUCGGAAGAACACCAGUGGCGAAGGCGACUCACUGGACAUGUAUUGACGCUGAGGUGCGAAAGCGUGGGGAGCAAACAGG
rnacentral:rRNA from 1 species